AGUCUAUCCCUUCCCAAAACAACACCCAUUAAAAUGUACAUAGCACAUAUAAUGUCGAAAGGGAUUCAAGAGUAAAACCAUGUUCUAAUCCCAAAAUGAUUGGACGGAGUUGAACUCGACGCAACCAACCUCCAGUUCCGUUAAUAAAAGCUUUGAGUGGCGUGCGGUCCAACGCACCUAUAUAAUUGCUCCGAAAGUGUUCGCACACACAAACGGCAUAAUACAUGAAGUGAUUGCCAGAUGAAUCCUUGAAGCUUUCCAUCCAAUUGGUUCAAAAAAAGGUUCAUAUCUGGAGGCUUCAUGUGCACAUAAACCCCCCUGCUGGCUAAACCUUUAUUGUCAUUUCAACUAUUUGUGAUGGAUCUCUUGGCUGUUUUGCACCAGUGACAGCAUGGGAAUAGUCACUGCCAACAAUAGAAAUAAAAACACCUUAAUAUGA